CCUACGGGCGGCAGCAGUGGGGAAUAUUGCACAAUGGGCGCAAGCCUGAUGCAGCCAUGCCGCGUGUGUGAAGAAGGCCUUCGGGUUGUAAAGCACUUUCAGCGGGGAGGAAGGCGUUAAGGUUAAUAACCUUGUCGAUUGACGUUACCCGCAGAAGAAGCACCGGCUAACUCCGUGCCAGCAGCCGCGGUAAUACGGAGGGUGCAAGCGUUAAUCGGAAUUACUGGGCGUAAAGCGCACGCAGGCGGUCUGUCAAGUCGGAUGUGAAAUCCCCGGGCUCAACCUGGGAACUGCAUUCGGAACUGGCAGGCUAGAGUCUUGUAGAGGGGGGUAGAAUUCCAGGUGUAGCGGUGAAAUGCGUAGAGAUCUGGAGGAAUACCGGUGGCGAAGGCGGCCCCCUGGACAAAGACUGACGCUCAGGUGCGAAAGCGUGGGGAGCAAACAGGAUUAGAUACCCGAGUAGUC
rnacentral:rRNA from 1 species